UGCAGUCCAGAAAGAUUGUAUUGCCUGAACAGUUGCAGGGACAAAAGACCCUGGGCUAUUGCCCAGAUACAGUUUUAUACAGCAAAAUUAAGAGAUAAGGUCUAAACAAUAAAGACAGUGUUCAGCAUGGGCUCAUCAGAACCACCCCAGGGGUCAGGUCCAAUGGGAACUGCUCAGGGGUGGGGAGAAGGGGGCUUACAGAAAGGUGCUGAAGCGAAGCUUUCCCGAAACAAAGGGGCAUACAUAAAUGUAUCUUUCCCUCAUACCUAAAUGUAUCUUUUCCUCAGCUUCCAAUUCCCAAGGCCUUUCUAAAUCCCUUCCUCCACGCUACCACGCUAGCGUGAUAGCAACAUCUCCCUCUUUUUUACUUAAUAAGAUGAACGGUGCCUUGGGAGAAGGUAAAACUGCGGCUUUUAAACUGCAGUGUCUUUCUGCUUGUCGUCUUCCCACCAAUCGCUCUCCGUGACGGCAGCAGCGAUGAGAACAGGUGCGGAAGCCUUAGGCUUCGAGGUGAUGACCUUGGAGAUUAUUCGCUUAAGAAUCCCAAAUGCUAACAAAACUAAAAACAGUGCAACUAGAAAGUAAAAGAUGUCUUUUAAAAGAGACACUGCCCACCCAGAAAGGUCCCAGUCUUUGAACAGAUUUUUAAACCAAUCUUCAUUUUCUUGCUUCACACUCCCAAUGAGGCUUCUCAUUUCCUGAAUGGACGAGUGGACACUCUGGCCUUUAGAUGACAGAUCAAAACAACACAGCCCAUCAAACUCUUUAUAUCCAUGACCAUGUGCCAACAGCAGGAAAUCAAUAGCUGCCCGAUUUUGGAGGGUAGCCUUUCUGGUUAUUUCCUCGUCUUCUAGGAGGUUACUCAGGGCUGUUGAUGUUAAAUUUGCCUGCUUCGUCACCCAGCAUUCCAGAUUGCCUAAUUCACUCAAUGCUUUUGCUGCCGCAACCCAUGGUAAAAACACAGAGACGGCAACUCUUUUGGAUUUUGCCCAAUGGUAAAUUUCUGCAUCACAAUGUUCAUCAAAUUGACUUGCACUUCGCUUAGCAAUUUUUGUCUCACCUUUUGCUCGCCCGAUUGGAAUUUGGGUCAUGUUGGGGGAAGCAAGGGUCAGACGCCCGAAAGUGCAUGGACCUCCAAUAAGACGAGAGGGGAUUCCAGGGUAUGCUCUGUCCCCACAGAUAAGAAACACUCCCUUGUCCAGCUUGCGGGGACGGAAAUCAGUGGUGGAUGCAGAUUUCAGCUUAUAGACAGCUGUGCACCAUUGACUCGCCCUGAAUUCCACCUUGUACUGUUUGACUUGCUCAUAUAAUUUUACUUCUUUGGUUGGGGAAAAAUCAAAUUGAAUGCAAUAUUCAGCUUUUGCAGAGCCCAGGAGUUCUAAUUCCUGGGGCUCUCCCUCAGCAGAGGGCAAGUCUAGGAUCCACUUUUGCCACAAAAUGAGGGGGUUUUGCACUGGUAUUUUCCCUACUCCAGGUAUUUUAUUUUCGUUCACCUGCUUUUGCAAGCGGACCAGACCGAUUGGAAACUCAUCCCCCUUACUUGGAACCCCUACUAAACAUGUGGACAUUGGAUUUUCUGCUGAGGCAGUAGACAAACACAUGUGAUCUUGUUUCAAGGCUUGGGCGAGUGUGACCCACACAUUUUUCUUGGGCUGUGGAACAAUCCACGCGUCCACCGUGCACGGGUAGAUGGCCAUUGUCUGGAACCAAAUGAUGAGCAGGAAUGUGGAAAUUGACAUUCUGCUAGUCUGAAAGAAAGAUAAAAUCAUAUAACAAGGUAAACUAACUCUGAAAAAGGUACAAUUUGCUCUGCCAGUAUAAAGGAAAAAGAUUCCCCCUGCUCCUACUUUCCCCCUUUGCGAAGGAGGAGGCCCUGCAGACCCCGGAGUCCUCGGGGUUGCUGCUGCUGAAGCAACCACCCUUUCCCGCGGACUUAUCACUGAGUCCUCUGUCAUUAGUGUAGCUUUUCUCGUGCACUCCUCAAUGAGCUGAUCGAGUGUGGGUGGAGGCGAUGCUGGAAGGGCCAGGAUGACUCGCUGACAGGCUUCAUUUGCAUUUGUGGUGGCAAUUUCUAGUGUGAGCUGAUCUUGGAGCUCUGGAUUCUGCACCCUUUUCUCGACUGAAGCUCUCACUCGAUCCACAAAAUCCAUGAAUGGCUCUGCAACAGACUGCUUCAAAUCGAUAUAAGAAAUGACAGGUUCUUUAGAAGGCAUGUUAAAAAAAUGCACGUUCUGCCGCAUCCCUGGACAGGUCUAACACUGGUCUGGGAAUGCCUGCUGCUUGCUUCUCAGCUUGGCUCCAAUCACCCUCACCCACUAGAUGUUCUAAGGUGAUUUCCUCAUCCUCUAUAUCUGUGGAAUGGGUUGAACUCUGCAAAAUCUCUGGAAGGAGGUCUCCUGCAAGCCUUUUCCAAGUUCUCUCCCACAAUCUAAAUUCAGAUUGAGGGAGCAAACAGCUGAAAAGACGUCUCAAAUCAGCAGGGACAAAAGUUUUGGAACUUAGAGUAGCUUUUAAAAUGCUCUUAAAAAAUUCACUCCUUUCUCCAAAUUCAUGUUUUGUUUUGCAGAGUUCCCUGAUACUGUCGUAUGAAAGGGGUUCCCAUCUGGGAUUUUGUCCUCUCGCAUUAUAAACAACUGGGGCCAUGAACAGAGGAUCGGUGUCUGUGAUCAGUUUCUGUUUCCCGGAGCCGACAGCCCCGGAGCUGGCAGCCUCGGCUCUGCCGUUGCCGAGGGAACCAGGAGCGAGAGGGGGGGGCGGCUUGUGUGGGAGUGGCCGCAGCUGGAGGGGCCGUGUGGAGCGGGGCAGGGGCAGGGGGUGGUGACGGAGUUGCGAGGGGAGGAGCUGAGGGCUGGACCGUGGGCUGAAUCGCCGCAAGGGAGGAGGGGCUGGGAUUGGGGAUGGGCAAAGGGAGGGACACGAGGGCUGGGGGUGUGUUCUGGGCUGGCACGGGGAGCAAGGAAUUCUGGGAUGGAGAAGGGAAUGUCCCGAUGCCGCCUCCAUCUUGUGUUGGCUGCACGAGGCGAGUGGGGGGUGCAAAGCAAGGAUUUUGAGCUGCGGGAGCGGAAUCAUGAGACGGAGAAGGGUUAGGAACUGAAUUUACAUCUGCGCGGUUAGUUUUUUCAAAGCCGGGGACGCGGGGGGUUGCAGGGGACGCGAUGUGACCCUUUUCUCUUCCCCGGGCGUCCCGAGUGUCUGCACUCUCUUUCACAAAGUCAUAAACGAACAAAAAGAUUCUCAUAAAACCUUCUUUCACUGAGGGAUCUCCUGCCUUUGUCCUUUCACUCAACACUGCACCCACACGCUUCCAAAACUGUCUUUCAUUCACAUCUUGCUCUGUUACCUCCGAAAAACUUACUGAUACCCAUUUAACAAACUCUUUCACCAAACUCUCAGGAAGUUUUGCACCUGCUCUCUGCAGGGGUUCUUGAACUUGUUUAUAAAUCUCUUUCUGCUGUGUAGUCAGCGUAACACCCAUCGCUGGCUGCACAGCAAAGUCUCACCCAGCUGCUACAGUAAAAACCCCAAAGUUCUAAAGACCCGGCGGAGCUCCCGACACGCCUGCGCGCUGGCGUGUCCCCCCUUGGGCACACGGGAGCCUGACUCCAGUCUCCUGGCUGGACCCUUCCCGCCAGUACCGAGACUUACCCACCGCCGUUCUUCAGAAAACACACUGCAGCAACGGUUCCCGACUCCGCAAACAGUCUUCCGGGUGUUUGGAAGGUCCCGUUCGCAUCCACGGGCACAGCGCCGGACAGAAAUCGGUGCCUGUCCCCGCAGUGGCAGUCCUGCCGGGCUUGUGUGGAAGGGCGAGUGCCCACACCACCAGCGCGGUCCGAGAGCUUCUCCCCGCGGAGCUGACAGCCUGCGUGGCGGUUUUUUCGCACCGCUCGCCGCUCUGUCGCUCGCGGCGA
ensembl:lncRNA